rnacentral:lncRNA from 1 species
UCUAGCUGCCUGGACUAUAAACCCUAGAAGUAAAAGCCUAUGGAAAGCUACACCGCUACACCGAGCGGCAGCAAGAGCAAGCAAAAUCCACUUAAGGUUUUAGUAUCCGUGCUCACUGUGUGCUCUCUACCUCCAGCACUAAGAAACGAUUUCUCCUUCCACUCCAUGUACGGGUUGCAUUUGGAUUGCUUUUCUAAAGUGUGCCUCUCUUUGUAAGAUUUCAGUUGGGGGGUGCCUGGGUGUCUUUAUUCCAGUACAUCUUGUUUAUCUUCUAUUCUCAGCUCUGCAACCUCGUUCUUCUCUCCCGGCUAAGCUUUUAGGAAGGGAAGGAUCCAGGAGGGCCAUCUAGUGAGAAGAGUAUUAUCACUGAAACUGUAGUGCUUUAGAGCAUCAGAGAAAUAUCUUAAGGACUGUGUCCAGGCCGGUUUGCUCUCUGUGUCCUCUGGGGAAAAUGCUCCAGCAGAGGCACCCCGCAUCCAGGCCUGACAGGAGAGUGCGGAGGCCCUUGUUUGCGCCACUUUAGAGAUUUGUAUUUGUGUGACCAAAGAGGCAUCGCCGGCCGCCUGGUUUCUGGGCAGUUAAAAGGCGGGGAAAACCCGGAAUGUUCUCUCACUUCUGGCUUCCGGGAAACACGGGAGGAAAUCAAGGGCAGCACCCGCCCGAGCGUG